AAAAUGAAAAUGUUUUCCUUCCACGGGCUUGAAUUUAAGAGGAACGCAUUUGGGUUUUUUGCACUGGCUCCAAAUAUUUCAUUUGAAAUCUCUUCUUUUAAAAAGAAAUAGAGUCAAUCAGUGGAGCAGAGUCCUUGGCGGGUUGUGUCUCCUAACGCGUAUUCUCUGUACAGGGGUUACAUGAUGCUACAUGCCGUGGUGGAUGGAAUCAAGAUUGGGAGCCUGGGUUUCUAAAACGCAAAGAAAACACAUGGAUUUAUCAUAUCGUUGAUACCUGCAGACAUGCCAACAGCCAGGACAAAAAUGCGAGUUUCCCUACAGGACUGGUGCCAGGUUUCACACACGUGCCUACGCUCUGCCACAAUUGCUUUGGUCUUCCCUGGAUUAAGUUUUUAACUCGAGCUGCUCAUCUCAGCUGAACUUCAAAAAACUGCAGGAAAGCACAUCAUCUGUUACAGGGAGCAGGGGUGCAGAACCAAGUGAUACGAGAGCACCUGUGCAAUUCCAGCUGAUGCCAUUCCAGAGGCUGAAGAUAUCAGACUCAUUCUGUUUCUUUUUUUUUGUGUCUUAUAUUUAUACUGUGUCCCCCCGGCAUCAGCAAAGAGGCUUGAGCUGGAGAUGGUCACACAGAUGAGCUUGUCCUUUCUGUUUCACUGACUUUCAUCAUCUGUUCAAAAAGUUUUAUACGCUCUGAGCUGCUUAAAGACUUUUGACUUUACAGUUUUUUUCACUGAAAUCCUUGUACCUAUCUCUGAUUGGCUUGAGAAGUGUUAUGCAGACACAGAACCAGAUUGUGGAAGGUCUGUGAAUAAGUAUUUCAGCUGGUUAAUAUUCCCUGCCCGGUGCUGGACAGCAAAGUGUGUCUGUAUGUAUUUAAAUGCCAACCAUUCUAAGCACUGGUUCAAAGCUCAUAUUGCUAAUUGCAAAACCUCAUCAACUUUCUGUGUACCGGAACAGCCCCUCUACACAAAAAAUAAAAAUCAAAGAGCAGAUCAGGUUGAUGGUGUUCUCAGCCAUAUCUGUUUCUGUCAGUAUGCGUUGAGGGACUGAAAGAAAGAGGUGUGUGAAAUUGUUCCCAGGCCGUCCUUGGCUGUGUUUCCCUGCUGCUCUGCCCCACUCUCCCCUUUGGCUGUGCUCAGAGGAGGAACUCUUGUGCAGAAAUGGGGAAAAUCUCAGAGAGAGUGCAUGACCCUCAAAACAGUAGCUUGUCCUUUAUAGAAGAAAGAACUUCCAGCAAGUAGUGGUUUACGUAUCUUUAAGGGAAAGGAAAACUACUUGCAAAUGCAUUACUUUAUCUGCAAUGGAAUUUCAAGUUACUAAUGCAUGGACAGAGGCAUCGAGUGAAUCUUUUCACCUGGGCUUUUGGAAAAUGCUACCCAAGAAAAAAUUAGUUGUGUAAAAACUUCUGUCACGCUUAACUCUGUAAGCAGAGUGACUGCGUAAUUAGCCACACUAGCUGGGGAGGAUGCCACGUUAGAUCAGGUGAGAGAAGCAGAGUUAAAAUAGCACAAAAAUAAGAACCGUGGGGCAGAACUGAUGCUAGAAACUGCCAUCUGCACAUGCAAAGGAAUAUCUGUUGCAUUUUAAAUUCAAGUCAUAGCAGACUUCAGAACCUUUGCUAUUUUGGAAGAGACAGAAAAUCUCCAAAAACAUGCUGAAACAAGGAAGAAGGUGGAACAUUUCUGAAAUACUGAAAACUGGUGUGUGUUGUAUUCCAUCUCUUUUUGGUCAUGAACCUUUGUUCCUAGGUUGGGCGUUUGGCCCACCUCAAGUCCCUCAAUAGGCAGUGGAGAGAGAGGGACUCCUGCUUGGCAUCUCCAAAAGUGGUAAAGCAACCCUGCUUGUUCAUAAAAUCCCUGAGAGCAAUGCAGUGGGCCUUACUGAAAAUUUUAACACAGAAGAUGCUGAAAGAAGUGGGAUAUGGCACAUAUGCCAAAACUGGUCCUAAUUUUCUAUUUCAUAUUUUCAAAAAAGGCCAAAAAAGACUCAGUUUUAGCCAAGCCACUAAGAAAAAAAAUGAAAUGAACGUAUCUGUUCUUACAGUGUGUUUCACAACACAGGAAACUGUCAAUAAAAGCAAUAAAUGGA